CAUACAGACAGGAUACUACAUGAUGAAAAUGGUGCUGUGAGGAGCCAUAAAUCUGGUUUUUGGGUUGUAGAUUUGGAUGUCAACAGUCCCAGAAUGGUCAGAGGUUUAGUUCCUGAAAUAGCCAAUGCUGAACUCAUAUCUGACGAUUGUAAAAAUGAACUGUACUGUGGUCUCCCUUACAUUAUACCUGUUGCAACAUUCAUAUGGUAGGUCUCAUGUUUCCUCACAUUAAUUGGUCCAAGUUCAAUAGAAAAACCAACUAUUUUUACAUAUUUCUUUGACAUAGCCUCUAGAAAAUUUCCCAACUUAUCGCCAAUUUUAGAUAAUGUAAGCUGUCAAUUUUACAGUUACAGUUUUUGAAGAGUUUCACUCAAAUUCCACAAUGAUUAGGGAGAAAGCUCUCAUCCAAAAGAAAUAUUUUAGCCCAGGUGCCUAUGAUGUGGAACUUCUGGACAGAGUGUCAGAAAAUUCUGAAAGUAUAAGCCAACUUCCUUGUAGAAACUCUUUUUGCUAAAUUGUACAACUUACUAGUCAAAAGUUACCAGUCCUUUUUUUUAAAGUGUUUUUUCUUGUUCCUAGUCAAGAGCUUUUCACUAAAAUGUCUUAUCUUACCCUAUUUGAUCUACCGAGGGAGCGCAGUCUCUAGUUCUUGGCAAAACUGUUUCCAUGGGUUUUUAGCUAAUUGUAAAUAAUUACAAGUGAAUUUAUCGCAACAUCAGAAGAAACUGAAAUCAUCACUUUUUUUGCAGGAAAACACAUUGGAUUCCAGGGAAGAGUCCCAAUGUCCCAGUAGCUGUAGAUUUAAAGCUGUUAAAGAGAGAUUCACCCAAAGGUGAAUUCAAAGACUGUCAUUUGUUGCCAAUGGACCAGAUCAUAUGAAUCUGGUACUGUCGCCAUAUCCGGGAGUCACACUUCUCUCAUGGAGUCUUGUCCAAGGAACGCCUUUAGCAGGACCAAAAUGGAAUGGCCGUGAUACUUAUUAUGUGUAUUACUCUUGUGGCUCAGACCCAGAGCCCUGGAAUUUUUCGAUAGAUUUACUUGUUUCGCCAGAUCAUAAGGGUCCUGUAGUUGAAAUGGGUAUAGCAGGACAUAGAGUUCAUGGGGCUCAACAAACAACACCCGAAUUAAGAAAUCUUUUAAGUCAAUUCCCUCCGUGGGCCGUCACAUCAGGUUGGUGUGCUACCUAUAAGUCUUAUACGUUUUGA
rnacentral:lncRNA from 1 species